rnacentral:misc_RNA from 1 species
GAGAGAUGGAAAAAAAUUACAAAUCUUAUCUGGUUGCGGGAGAGAGAGAUUUUACGUUAUUAUGGUUUUAUGAAGCAAUUUUCAGUGUCAUAAUUAUCCGAUAUAAAUGCUUGAUUUUCUGUUCGUUUUGUGGUAGCCAUUCUCAUUCAGUAGCAGGUAAAACACUUUCAGUUUUUUGUUUUUAUUUGUUCCCUUUUAUCCCUCACCUGUGAUUUUUAGUUAUGUAUAAUUUUCUCAUACAGGUGAAAAGGUACAGGCAUCUAUGAUCAUGUACAUUAAACGUCAAAUGCGUGAAAUAAAUUAAAAUUGUUAUUUUAAGAAUUACAUGUUGCAAAAGUUACAAUGUAGAUCAGUAUUG